GAAUAGUAAGAAAAGCAGACAAGACCUGAAGAUACAGCUAAAAAAGCUGCAGAAAUUGGAGGAGGAAAAGCAAAAGAAGCUGCUGCAAGCAAGAAGCAUCGAGAUUUUGCGGUACACUGACCUCAACUUAUUCCGUUCAGAAUGGUGUAUAUUUUCUUUUGAUUGUGCAUACUGGUGGUCUGGCAUGGCAGUAAUCGUAGGAUUUCAGUUGAUGGACAUUCGCUGCUGCAUGCCUCGGGCACUAUUGGUCAAGCUGAGACUUUGAAAGAAAAACUUAGGCGGGCUGCGCAGUUCUCCAGGAUUCAACAAACCAAGUGUUCCAAGUUGUUCUCAUGUGGCGAUAGAUUUCCAGGAUGAAGAACUGAUACAGGAGGGAGCUGUUAUGCAAGAGUGCUUCAAUCCGCCAAUUGUAGUACCUGUCGCAAGGAGGGCUCUCCCAAUAAUAAUGAUGGAACAGGAAAUAAUGGAAGCUAUCUACGAAAAUUCCGUUGUAAUUCUGUGUGGAGAAACAGGCUGUGGUAAAACUACUCAGGUCCCACAGUUGUAUGAAGCUAGCUUUGGUAUGAGCAAUCCAGUUGACAGAAAAGGGAUUAUUGGUAUCACCCAACCACGGCGUUGUUGCUGUUCUUGCCACAGCUAGGAGAGUUUCGUAUGAGCUAGGACUUAAGCUGGUUUUCAAGUUAGGCAUGA